GGCACUUCAUUUUCAACGAGGAUAUAAUUCAGUGAUUGAUGCGUCGUCAAUCGACCAAGGGACAGAGUUGCUUUUAGUAGAUUGUUCUGAAUCAAGCAGGUCUUUUUUGGGUCUACUCUGAGCGAAAAACUUUGGUUGCUUAGGCACGGGUAAAGUCACAGUGUUACUACUGAGCAUCAUAACAAUGGUCGAUAAGGUUGGACGGUUGGCAGGAUCUUCUUGAACACAUAAAAGACCGAUAUGGAUGCAUCGAACCACUUUAUUCACCUGGCAAUUACGUACGAUAACAGGAGCCACAAGUUCUAACGGUGUCUCGUUCCUCCAGAGCCUCCAGGCCUAGAAUAUUAAUCAUUCAAUAUUUUCAACUAUUCUUAAUUGGAAGAGAGGCAAAUAUGAAACUUAACACUCACGUAUGUAACCAAGUCUCGUGCUCCCUCUGUCUCAAAGAAGCUGCUAUUUUUCUUGCCGCUUAUAAUCUCAAGAACUAACACUCCAAAGCUAUAUACAUCAGAUUUCAUUGAGUACUGGCCAUGCAUCGCAUACUCAGGAGACAUGUAACCACUGCAAUCCACAACAAAAGAUAUUUUUUAAUCUUUUCGAAAAAAUUAACUAUCAAACUUCAAAUUAUGUGAAGCUAAGAGGAAGACUUACUAAGUCCCAACUAUCCUCCUUGUGCUCUCCUCAGUUUGGUCCAUUCCAAAUAUCUUAGCCAUUCCAAAAUCCACAAUUUUCGGAUUCAUAUCAGCAUCAAGAAAAAUAUUACUCGCUUUAAGGUCACGGUGUAUAAUUGUGAGUCUUGAAUCUUGAUGAAGAUAUAGAAUCCCUCUAGCAAUGCCACCAAUGAUCUUGUACCGGUGAUUCCAGUCCAGCUGACUUUCCUUAGCAGGGUCUGCGCACAUCCAUACAUUUCAUUUAGCUCUAAAUAUAUAAGCAAACCCAAAUUUGAAGAAUAAUUAACGAAUCAUUGGAACAAAGUAUUAAGUGUAAGUGCGUAACUGACCAAAGAGGAAGUAAUCAAGGCUUUUGUUAGGCACAUACUCGUAGACCAGUAUCCUCUCUUUUCCUUCUAGACAAAACCCAAGAAGCCUAACCAAAUUUCUGUGCUGAAGCUUUGCAACAACUGCAACCUCGUUCUUAAAAUUUGUUUCACCUUGUCCCUGAAGUUUUUGACAAUCUCUUUACCGCUACAUCCGUCCCAUCCGGAAAUGUACCCUAACAUGUACUAUGUUAGGCCCAAGUUUAGUGAAAACAAUACACAAACUCAAGUGCAGUUAGGGAACUAAUAGUAGUAGUACCUUGUAAACCUCGCCAAAACCACCUCGACCAAUAUUGUUACUCUCUGAAAAACCAUUUGUUGCAGCUUGAAUCAUUUUAUAGUCCAGUUGCAGCGAGUCUGCGCUUGAUAUUUCAUCUCCUUCUGCAAAAUAAAAGUACUAGUAAGGAGACAAAAAAAAUGUUGAUCAUUGACACACUAACAAGAGUAGAUAAAGAUCGUUUGAUUAGAUGAAUCCUUACCAUCAGAUGCAGGUGCUGUAUCAUAAGCCUCCUUCUUCCUCUUUGUAAAGAAACAAUAACCAGCUAUUAAUAGCAGAACAACCACUAUGGUUGACACAACAAUGGGUACCACUAACACGUUUGAGUUCCCACCUUUCCCUUCUUUCGAAACAGAGCUCUGACCAGGUCGUGCAGGAGCUGAAACCGGAGGUGGUGUUGGUGGUGGUUGUGGGGUUUUAACGGCGGUUUCGUUGUACGUCUCGAAUCUCGAAUUACAGUUGGGCAAAAUGAAACUUCCUCCAACCCUGUCUAUAGGUAACUGAUUGAUGGAUAUUUGCAGACAAGUCGUACAAUCUUGUCUGGUCAUGUCGGGAGUGCACUGAACCAGUCCGUAAACAGUUAGAGAUGCUGUGACGUUAGCUUUCCGCGCAUCGAACUUUCUAGAACUUUUCACCGCAUCCGUGACGGCUUGGUUCAGGGUGAACAGGAGCACAUUACUGAAUCGUUCUAACUGGUUAGAUGGAAUCCUCUGUUCUUUCCUAAAGUCAGCUUCACCAGAUCUAGUAAGGGUAGAGAGAAUACGCCGGUGAGAGUAUCUGAGCAUGCACUCGUCGUAAUAAAGCACGGCUUCUCUCUCAUUCGGACAACGAGUGAAUGAGUCGUUGACGGAGAAGGCGACGCAGCCGCGGCAAACUUCCGGUGAGACGUCUCCUCGGCAGAGGAAAAGUCCGGCGACUCUGUCGGGGGUCUGCCCGACGGUGGCGUUUUGGAAUCCGGUGGAGUAGGAAGCGUUGGGGGAAGAGAGAGAAGACAAAAGGGUUCUGAGGUUGGUGGAGUAAGUGCUGUUGCUUGAGUAAGUUGUCGUAUUCGGACAGUCAUGGUAAACAUAAGUAUGGUUUUGAGCGCAAACUGUGAGGAGUGAUGGGAAGAGGAAAAGGAAUAUGAAGUAGGUGUAAGAUGACAUUUGUAUAUUUUCAGGUUUCUUCGAUUUGUUUGAAGCUUGAAUUUGAAUAUAUUAUGAAAUAAUUGAUUUUGUUUUCUCUCUGAUUGUGUAUCAGUUUGUGAGGACGAUAAGUCAAAGUAAACGCUAUGUUUAUCUCAAUGUGUGACAUGAAUUAUAUGCCCAACUUCUGUUCCCUGCUUACCUAUAUAAACUUUUGAAUUGUCCUAUACCCAAUAACCAAUGGCCUCCUUUCCUACUAAUCUCUUUAGUUUACUUUUCGUACUAGUGACAAAGUCAAGCUAUACUUUGGUUUUUCUAGAACCCUUGGUUUAUUUAUCUUUAAGGGCUUCUCUAAGCCAAACUUAUAAAAUACAACAACUGAACAAAGAAGCAUAAGCAAAGUUACUCCUCUCCAUCCUGAAACUACUAGUGUAACCGUAUGAAGUUUUGUGCGAGUGGUUAAGCGCAUGCAUUGGUUUAUGGCGCUCUUAGUUUAAUUUCCAGUGGAAAAAAUGUUUUAUGGCAUGUCAUAAGUAUUGGUAAAGAUUGGUACCGGCCAAGGGGUAUUAGAGACCAGACUUUGAAAUCUUUAUAGGUAACCAAAAAAAUCUAAUAGGACACCAGUUAGCCAAAAUAAACAUUUUCUGAUUAUUAUUAUUAUUAUAAAAUGCUAAAGGAAAAAAUCUUAGAUCAAAAGAAUUAGUUUCAGAAAUAGUCAUCAGAAUUUAUUUGUUAAUCACAGGUCGAAGUGGAUUCUUCUAACUCCUACCAAAAGAUGUAUAGCUUUUCAAUUAACUUGAAAUGCCAAGCUAACAAAAAUUUCAUUUAUUGUAUAUAUAGAAUAAUUUUCUGUCAUCAAAAUAGUACAUUGUUUUUUGCAAAGCAAUUUAUUCAUCUGAAAAAAUAUUUACAAUGAAUUAGUAGAAUAACUACUAUGUAAAACAAAUUAACUACUCUUUCCCUCACUGCGUUUGAAUGGGAGUGUGAGUGUGCUUUACUCUCAACCACAUACUAUUCUACUUUUAAUGUACAUAUAUAACAAAUCUAAACACAUACUAGUAUAAAUGUUAUAAUGGUAAUCUAAUGGUUAAUUACAGGCCUUGAUGCAACUUUAGCUGAUGUCUUUUAUAAAGGAGACAUAUUUUUUUUUUAAAGAAUAUUAAAUUAAUUCAAACAAAAAAUCUGUUUUACACUUUGUGUUACAUUGGGAUUGAAUUUUUUUUUAAAAUCAAAAGCUAAGCUUCAAGUAGCUAUCGAGUGCCAAACCAAGUGACUAACCCUCCCGUGUGCGCCUUGUCACGGAUGGAUGAGAGCCUGUUGCGAACAUUCUUAUCAACCAUUUUGAUUAGUUGAGCCGGUGACAUUGGUCUUUCUUCAUGCUUACGUUGGUUUCGUUCCCUCCAUAUAACAUACAAGGUCGCUUGGAACGCAUACUUUACGAGUUAAUAGAUUUUUGUGGGACAUAUUUUCAAACCUAAGAAAAAACGUGUCAAUAGCUUGCAUUUCAUACAUACUUCGAGUUACAACUACGUAAUUCUUUUAUUUCAUAAUUAGUGUCAUUUUCGCACUUUUUAUUACAAAAAUAUUAUUUUAAAAUUUUAAUACAAUUUAAAUUUAUUUUCAGUUUAAUAUUAAUUGUAAAUUGCAUUGAUUUUUAAAAUAAUUUUAUUUAUAACGCUAUUAAUUAAUUAAGUGUAAUUAAUAAGAACAUAAAUAUAUUUUAAACAUUUUCUUAAUAUAUGUAAAAAAUAUCAAAAAUGACACUCUUUAUACAAACAUUUCUACAUCCAAAGAAGAUUUAAAACAACGUCCAAUAACACAAGUUGAUAUAGGCAUUUCAUUUUUAACGAGGAUAUAAUUCAGUGAUUGAUGCAUCGUCAAUCGACCAAGGGACAGAGUUGCUUUUAGUAGAUUUUUCUGAAUCAAGCAGGUCUUUUUUGGGUCUACUCUGAGCGAAAAACUUCGGUUGCUUAGGCACUGGUAAAGUCACAGUGUUACUACUGAGCAUCAUAACAAUGGUUGAUAAGGUUGGACGGUGCGCAGGAUCUUCUUGAACACAUAAAAGACCGAUAUGGA
rnacentral:lncRNA from 1 species